CUCUACCCGGCAGUGGUGAUCAGCAGUGCGGAGGUGGACAAUCAAUCCUUUGAUAUUUUUCGCUUUAAGAAACGGUUACCAGCUGGAACAGUGUGGGAGAACCACGGCUCUCUAGCUCCUUAGCUGUGUCUGUUCUCUGAAGCCCGUCAGCCUGGGCUGGGAGCGGCCAUUUCUGAAGACUUGAAGGCAUCUGCCUGGCCCAUCAGCUCAACUGAAGUGGCUGACCCUUCUCCCAUCCACAACUGGCCCCGCAUGAGGCUCACUUAAACACACACUUGGGAGAUGAGGCUUUUUAAUGUCAUUCUCCUUCGUUUGAGUGAAAGAGGGACCAUUUCUUUCUCCAUUCUGGAUGAUCAGUGAGAUGUCGUCACUCUGUCACUGUCUCCCUGCUACAUACAGCUGGGAUUCAGGGAUGGGGAUGCUUUCCGGCUCCCAUCGUCUGGGCUGACUCAGCUUUUUUUUUUCACCAAUUAAUCAUCUUAAUAGCCACCGUUUAUGGAGCCUUUGUGCUAGGCAGUUCCUACACGUCAUCUCAUUUACGACGUUCAACCCCUCUUAAGAGAACAGGGAAGUCUAACGUAUUCUUGCUGCAUCCAUGAUUUAAAGUCCUCCGUCACCUCAAAUAGUUUUGUGGAAAUCAAGAAGGGUCCGAGUUCCAUGUCUCAGCUGCAGUGGAACAGAGCAAAUAACAGCCAUAUGGUGAGGCCCAGGGGUCCCAAGGCCAGAGGAACACAGCGCUGGAACCCACCAGAAAAUGGAGGCCCCUGGCCAAGGGCAGAGGUCCUGGGGUGGGGCAGGGGACAGAGGCAACGAAUCUGAGCAGAAAUCCUGGUUACAUUUGCAACUCCUCUUUGCCGUCAUUCAGUUUGUUUCCUUUCUCCCCUUAAAUGGAAGUCUUCAGGACAGACUGUCUUCCCCUUUGCAUCCAGCAGGGUGCGUAACACUGAGGUUUGGGGACACUUACCUCCCCUGCCAACUGGGCAAACAGCCUCCGGAAUCCAUCAUCGAUGUCGUCCUCACUGACGUCGUUCUGGGAGGCGAGGCACAGAUGUGAGACGCAGUGGACCAGCAAGGUGGCUUCCCCCUGCCCACAGUUACCCUCUCCCCCUCUCUCGGGCCUAAAUUCUAUGGUUACUGGGAUCGAGACACAGGAUGGUAUGAGGAAUUAGUAAAAAAAUUCCCGAGUUGUAUCUCUCAAAGCCCUUCAGGAUUUACUGCUGAGUCACAACUCCUGGAACUCUAGGGGAUCUGAGAAAUCUCAUCACCCAGUGCUUCCGUUUGAUCGAUGAGCAAACCCACGUCCAGAGAGGGGAGUGGCAAGAACCUCCACUGAUCAGUGCAGCCGGGUGUCUCAUCCUCCACGGCCCCCACGUGCACAUGAGUGACCUCCCAGGGACCGCACAGCCAGGGCAGGAGCUCCAGACUCCCAGGCCAGGGCUGCAUCCUUCGUUUCAUGCUGUGUUCAUCACGUCCUAGGGGCCUCCUAAGCCCUUGGGAUUAUUUUCUGCUUCUCUGCUCCUGGGUUGUUCAGGACAGAGUGUGGGUAGAAUUCAAGGGGUUACAAGUACCUCUUCAAGGUUGGCCUCGAUUUCAUCGUCGACAGCCCUGGAAACAGAAGGAAACUGUGGGUUACUGGAAGGGAGGGGAGGGCGCAAAGGGAGUGUUGCAGAAGUCAUUGCUAAAAUGGAUCUGUGACAUUAAACCCAGCAUGGGGUGGGCACAGGGGUCUUCUCUGCAUAGCAAGUGCCUGUGAUAACAUGUCCCCUGCAGCAGAAAUAAAGCAGAAACGAUCUAA